rnacentral:rRNA from 1 species
AAACUAACAAGGAUUCCCCUAGUAACUGCGAGUGAAGCGGGAAAAGCUCAAAUUUAAAAUCUGGCGGUCUCCGGCCGUCCGAGUUGUAAUCUAGAGAAGUGUUAUCCGCGCUGGACCGUGUACAAGUCUCCUGGAAUGGAGCGUCAUAGAGGGUGAGAAUCCCGUCUUUGACACGGAYYGCCAGGGCUUUGUGAUGCGCUCUCAAAGAGUCGAGUUGUUUGGGAAUGCAGCUCAAAAUGGGUGGUAAAUUCCAUCUAAAGCUAAAUAUUGGCGAGAGACCGAUAGCGAACAAGUACCGUGAGGGAAAGAUGAAAAGAACUUUGGAAAGAGAGUUAAACAGUACGUGAAAUUGCUGAAAGGGAAACGCUUGAAGUCAGUCGCGUUGGCCGGGGAUCAACCUUGCUUUUGCUGGGCGUACUUUCCGGUCGACGGGUCAGCAUCAAUUUUGACCGCUGGAUAAAGUCCAGGGGAAUGUGGCAUCUUCGGAUGUGUUAUAGCCCUUGGUCGCAUACAACGGUUGGGAUUGAGGAACUCAGCACGCCGCAAGGCCGGGUACUUGUACCACGUUCGUGCUUAGGAUGCUGGCAUAAUGGCUUUAAUCGACCCGUCUUGAAACACGGACCAAGGAGUCUAACAUGCCUGCGAGUGUUUGGGUGGAAAACUCGGACGCGUAAUGAAAGUGAAAGUUGAGAUCCCUGUCGCGGGGAGCAUCGACGCCCGGACCAGACCUUUUGUGACGGAUCCGCGGUAGAGCAUGUAUGUUGGGACCCGAAAGAUGGUGAACUAUGCCUGAAUAGGGUGGAGCCAGAGGAAACUCUGGUGGAGGCUCGUAGCGNUUCUGACGUGCGAAUCGAUCGUCAUNUUUGGGUAUANGGNCNNNNNNNNNNNNNNNNNNNNNNNNNNNNNNNNNNNNNN